rnacentral:misc_RNA from 1 species
AAGUCGUAACAAGGUUUCCGUAGGUGAACCUGCGGAAGGAUCAUUAACACGUAUCCAACGUUAACCCCCCGUGAACCUUCAUUAUGCUGGUUGUGCGCCAUCGUAUCGUAGCCUGGUAAAUCAUCGCCGAACAGUUUUGAUUCAGGGACCUCUAUUAUAAGAACGAGUCUAACCAUAUAGCAUAUAGCAAUGGACCUCUUGUUAGUGUCUGAAAGUGUCACUAGCUCUGUACGGAUGGCGCAGUAACGAUCGCUAGAGGCCGACACGGCGACCAGGUCUCCAUUGCACGCGGUGUGCGAUUCGUACGCACCCUCCAUAAAAUGCUUAGAACAACUGUUAACCAUGGAUAUCUUGUUUCUC